UUUAGAUCCGACGGAAGGACCAUGUGGUGCAUCCUCACAGACUGUGCCUUCUCAGAAUCAGGCCGCAAGACCUUCCGAGUUAGACCACACAAUUGAGGAUUGGAAGACCAUACCAGACCAGGCAAAGGCUGCUCAGGUGUACAGGAAGACAGCACUUGAAAUCCACGCAUCAGGGAAGCCACUGUAUUUGCGUAUUGACAUUAGGAGCAGCCAGUUAGACCAGGAAAUGGCUUUGAUUGCUUUUUAUAAAGCAUGCAGCGCAGAGUGGGCGAAUCCUCUGCAAUGCAGACUUGAAGGUCCAUCUCUUUUCUCUCUUUUUAUUCAAUUUAACAAUUUAUGUGCAGUUUGAUUUUCACAAAUAACCCUGAGUAUUUCUUAUAUUUAAUAGGUGAUCCAGCAAUCGGAGAGGGAGUGAACCGCUUCGUGUUGUCCAGAAUCAUGGAGAAGCUCAAAUAUGGUUUUAAGAUCAAUUUAGGUAGUGUCCUCAAUUACAUUGCCAUAUUUGAUUUAGCUGCAAUAUUCUUACUGCCACCAUCUCUCCAAUUAAUGCUGUAUGUGUAGAGGCCAAGUAAAACUUUGAAUACAAGGUACCUGAUCAGGGAAUUUCUUCUGUUUGCCAGGAAAUGCUGGUGCCACGAAUCUAUUUGACGGCGAGCCGGAUCACCUUGUUCCCUCUUCCUCUGCUUUCAUUGUGGACAGUGACCUGUUCCUAAUGGCAGGCCGCAUGAUCGGUCAUUGCUUUUUAAAUGGAGGUCCUGCACUGACGGGACUAAGCCCUGCCAUUGUGCACGUCCUAUGUGGCGGCACACCUGAAACCGCCCUCAUAAAAAUUAAUGACUGCCCAGACUUGGACCUACGAGAGAAGAUCACAUUGGUGUGUAUUCUUCAAACUAAAAAAAAAUUGUUUUGUUUUUUUUUGUCUAAUGGUAAAUUCAGGUUUUUACAGAUUUGUGUUUCUUUUUUUUUUUUUUUAAAUAGAUUCUUCUUUAUUGGGUUUAAGUGUGUUCAUAUUUUGUCUUAAAGCUUGAAGGGAGUCCUGAACUGUCAGCAGAGGAGGAGGAGAGCCUUGACACCUUGUGUCUCGCAUGGGACCUUCCAUUGAUGACCCAAAACAACCUAAGAUGGCUCUUUGAGAGGCUUCUUCAUCAUGCAGUAUUUGAAUAUAUUUCUUUUUUAACUAUUUGACAACAUUUAUAUCUCUUUUAAACCACUAUACGUGUAAAGAUUUGUUUUUGUUUCCCCACUAGGUCAUUGGACGGACGAUGAAGCUAGUAAAGCAAAUAAGAAAAGGCCUAAAAGAAACCAUGGUGUGGCCCCUCAUUUGUGCGCGCCCAGAUGUUGCUCCAGAGAUUUUCCCUCGGGAGAUGAGUUCUGUGUUGACCCCAGAGUGCAUUCUGGAAUGCAUCAAGUGGCCCAAAAUGACCGGGACCGAGGACGAUGACGAUGACGAUGAUGAAUGCUCUGUGUCAGAUAAGAGCCGCAUCACUGGCUACCUACGGCAGUUCAUUGAAAAUGGUAUACUUUAUUAUAUGAGUGAUGCAUGUACAAA